UGCCAGCCGCCGCGGUAAUACGGAGGGGGUUAGCGUUGUUCGGAAUUACUGGGCGUAAAGCGCACGUAGGCGGACUGGAAAGUAUGGGGUGAAAUCCCAGGGCUCAACCCUGGAACUGCCUCAUAAACUAUCAGUCUAGAGUUCGAGAGAGGUGAGUGGAAUUCCGAGUGUAGAGGUGAAAUUCGUAGAUAUUAGGAAGAACACCAGUGGCGAAGGCGGCUCACUGGCUCGGUACUAACGCUGAGGUGCGAAAGCGUGGGGAGCAAACAGGAUUAGAUA
rnacentral:rRNA from 1 species